AUGUUGUAUAAAAAGAGAAAAUGUUAGCAUUCCCCUUGAUUAAGAUGGAAGAGGAACUAGUACCCUUUAUAAUACAAAAAAAGUUAAGUCACUACCAACUGCUCUGUCGCAUCCAACCAUGUUUUGUU
ensembl:snRNA